UCAGCCGCCGCCACUCCAUCUAUCCUCCUGGUGCCACUCCACCGGCGCCGGCGCUGAACCACCCCGUGCCGCUACACCGCCGCCGGCGCUGAACCACCCCGCGCCGGGCCGCUCCCCACCAUUCCCCUACCAUCGCCAUUCAGAUCUCCCCUAGUCCUACCCCUCAAGCCGAGGUGGCAGUGGCGGCAGCGGGACUGACGGCCGGACUUGGAAGCCCCCGAGGUCACCGCGGUGGGGCAGGCAGCCAAAUUUGUAAGUCCCCGAGGUCACCGGCAGCGGGCACGGAUCCAGCUCCAUCCGACGGAGAGCCCUUGUCGGUCUCAUGGGGAUGGUUAGCUGCAAGGCGGAGCAGAACACAAACGAGUCCUUCACGCUCGACCACGGCACCGACCGCAUCGAUUUCAUUAGAUGUGGCGGAGCUACAAAGAAAAGCCUAGGCAGGCCAAUCUAAAAACCAUGAAAAAAUCAACCCAAGGAAAGGAUGAUGGCUGCCGCUGAAAAGUCUUCCUCAACUCCAUCCGUAACGUAUUUGUUCAAUUUCAGCCUGGAUCACGUAUCUUGGAGUGACAACCCACAUUCAGCUGUUAUAUCUCGAAAUGGCUCACAUGGCAAGUUGGAUUCCAUUCCUGUGCAGGUGAAUUUCGGCUUUCUCUUCUUCUUUUACAUUGUCAUGUAAAUCUGAAAUUACUCAAUAUCAAUUUAUGUAUGCAACAGUAUUUAACUACUAGGUGUAAAUGUAAAAAAUGUUGAUAUAACUUCAAACAUUUUAAUUUUGGAAGACAAUGAUUACCCCAAUCCAAUUGGAGUUCAGUUAGCGUUUACUAUUGCUCACUUGUUAUACAGUGUACUGUCUAUCUAUGUUAGACCACUUCUUGGUUCUUUUAGGAAUGGUAAAUCUCACCAUGGACUCAUUGUUUGGGCAAAAAAAAAAACACUUGUGUUUAUUAUUAGUAAUAUUAUGCCAAUUGGCAAUUAUUACUGAGCAAACAGAGACAGAGGUGAUGGU